rnacentral:rRNA from 1 species
UACGUAGGGUGCGAGCGUUAAUCGGAAUUACUGGGCGUAAAGCGUGCGCAGGCGGUUUUGUAAGCCAGGUGUGAAAUCCCCGGGCUCAACCUGGGAAUGGCAUUUGGGACUGCAAGGCUGGAGUGUGGCAGAGGAGACUGGAAUUCCUGGUGUAGCAGUGAAAUGCGUAGAUAUCAGGAGGAAUACCGAUGGCGAAGGCAGGUCUCUGGGCCUUACCUGACACUGAGGAGCGAAAGCGUGGGGAGCGAACAGG